UCUUGAUUGACUCAGCAGCUGCAUCACUCAGCUUGCACUCUCCCUGUCCCCCAGCCUAUACACAAGCAUUUAGUGACCCCCGUGAGAAUUAAUGUUUUCUUCUCCCUUCUCAUGACAUUGUACAUUAGGGACUUCAUCAUCCAAAUGUUCCACCACUGAAAAGAAAGCUCUACUUAGAGACAGAAAUAAGAGCAACUAGAGCACACGUGCUUGUUUAACACUUGCAUCUAGGCUUUUGGUGGGCAUGUUUCCUCCCCUCCAGCUCCCCUCCUUUGGUCUGAGACCCACUUCCAUGCUAGGAUUCACUUCUCUUCCCAUCCCCACGAUCCUUAAGCCCCAACCUACUUCCACACCCCCAACCCAACAUUCAGCCCCAUCUCCAGUUAAUUAAGAUGAGUGAAGCCCUCGAAGUGAGUUCCUUUUCUCUUUCAGUUCAAAAAUUUCUCUUUAUCUUCACCUUCUCCUUCCUUCCCUCCAGUUUCUGAGAAGGAUGCAUUCUCCCUGCUUACAAGGCAAAUCUCCCUCAACCCUUGCUCUUGUUCCUACCCUGCUUCUAGGUUCUCACUUCAUCCAUCAUCCCUUUCUGACUUGCCUCGUAAGAGUCAAAUCAUGCCCUUGUCUCUCCAUUCUGGAAAAGAUUCUCAUUCCCCUUUGUAUUCCCCUAGUCUUUCUCCUUCCCUUCAUGCCCAGACUUCUUGAAAGAAUAGUGUCUCUACAUGUAGCCUCCACUUCUUCUUCACUUGCUCAUUUCUUCAUCCCUUCCCAUCAUAAAAAUAAUAGAUAACAUUUAUUGCACACUUACUGUGAGCCACGCUCUGUACAGUUGACCCUUGAACAACAUAGGUUUGAACUACACAGGUCCACUUAUAUACAGAUUAUUUUCAGUAAAAGUUACAGCAAGUGUGCCUGACUCUCCUAUCUCCCUUUCCACCACCUCCAGCUCUUCCAACUCUGCCACCCAUGAGACAACAAGACUCACCCCUCUUCUUCCCCUUUACCCUCAGCCUAUUCAAUGUGAAGAUGAGAAAGAUGAAAACCCUUAUGAUGAUCCACUUCCUCUUAAUGAAUAGUAAAUAUAUUUUCUCAUUCUCAUGAUUUUCUUAAUAACAUUUCCUUUCUCUGCUUACUUUAUUAUAAGAAUACAGGGUAUAAUACAUACAACAUACCAAAUAUGUGUUAAUCAGCUGUUUGCUAUUGGUAAGGUUUCCAGUCAAUACUCGGCCAUUAGUAGUUAAGUCUUAGGGGAGUCAAAAGUUAUACAUGGACUUUUGACUGCACAGGGGGUCAGCACCUUUAACCCCCAUGUUGUUCGAGGGUCAGCUAUAUUUGGUGCUUUAAAAUACACAAUUUCAUUUUAAUCUCAGAAUAACUUUAUAAGGGGCACUGUUGUCAUCCCUAUUUGACAGGUAAGAAAACUGAGGCCCAAGAAGAGGCUUUGAACCAGGAUUAUUUGACUUCAGAGUCCUCCUGACACUUAAGCUGCUAUAUUAGAGGUUGAUGGUGACCUCCUCAUCAUUGCAUCCAGGAGCCUCCUCUCCAUUCUCAUUUCAUUUGAUGUCUGCAGCAUUUGAAUCUUGUGGCCACUCACUCCGUGAAAGCCUCCCUGUCCUCACUGUUGGUAAAAAGCACACUUCUGGGUGCCUCUGCCCAUAUCCCCUUUGCUGGCUCUUCAUCUCCCUUCUCCCAAACCUAGGUGUUUACAAAGAAUUCUAUCUAGAUAAGAUAUAGAUGACCCUCAGAUGGGCUCCAGGGCCAAACUGCAGUUUCUUAAUGGACUGACUCUUCCACCAACCACCUCACAGAUACCCUUUCUUCACUGAACCCAUCUAACCAGCUUCUCUUACCUUCCCUUUUUCUGUUAAUGGAACCCUCAUCCCGCAGCCCCCCAGCUGGGUCCUCAGAGUCACCCUGGAAUCAUCUUCAUCCUUCUGUAUCCAAGUCCUGUGGAUUCUGUCUCCAUGGGGCCCCUCCAAUCUGGCCCAUUUCCAUCAUGACCUGCAUCUCAUUAAUUGAGGCUGCCUUUAACAGUCACCCAGUAACCUGCCAAUCUGUCUCCCUGUUUCCUGCCCAUUCAUGUAUUUAUGAUAAAUUAAUAUUCUUAUUAUCACUGUUUUUCAAAAUCUUGCUAAGACUGGUGUAGGAUCCUUGGCUCUCAAGACCUUUUGAAAGAAGGCUCCAACUCUAUUCUGGCCAUUGCAUAUAUUAUUCUCCAAGAUGUCACUAUUAGUGAAAGAGACCUACCUUUUGGCCCCAAAACAUGCCUCAAAGUUUUUCUCCUUAGAACCCUUGCUCUUCUCUUGUCCUGGGUGCCCAGCUGCCUCUGUCAUCUUUCAAAGGUAAAUCUAGAAGCUGCUUCUUUAACGAAGAGGCCUGAAGCACUGUACUGUGCUUACAGUAGCCCCAUAGCAUUGUGUCUGUACCUAUGUCAGAGCACUUUCCUGAGCCACUAUCUUUCCAUGCACACAAGUUGUCCACCAUAGGUGCAGCAAUGAUGUCAUGCAGAGCACGGUGUUGUUUCUUAGGAACCAGACAUCUAAGAAUGGGUUCCAGCCCUACCCCUACCAGCUUUGCCACUGAAGGCAAACCAUCAACCUCUGGAACUUAGCGUCUUUACCUAUAAAAUGGAGAGGCUGAAAUACCACAUCCAUGGAAUUCAAACUGUGCUUCAGAGUUCUUAGAUUCCCUUCCUAUGCAUAGUCCAGAGAUUUCUCGGCCCUUCUUGUUCCCACACUCAGCUUUAAUCAGAGUAUCUUGCUUUCAUCUUUUUUCUAUAUUGGGCUUCUGAGAUUUAAAAAGACCCUAAAACACUGGAAUGGAUGAUGUCCAAGAUUCACUCCAACUCUGAUAUUCUUUGAGAAAGCCAUAUCUUGGUCAUUUCUGAAACUCUUACUAUGUCUAAUAUGACUAAUGUUAAUAUGGAAGUAUAAAAUGUGAGUAUUGUCUUUCCUGUACUCCCCUCCAAACUCCCAAAGAUAUCCCCCUGGAUAUACUUCCACUUCUUCCUUAUUAUGAAUUCAAAAGUGUGUGUGUGUGUGGUGUGUGUGUGUGUGUGUGUGUGUGUGUCAUGCCUACUUCUCUACCCUGCUAUUCCUUUUUCUGAACAUUUGCAUUGCCAUGUGGAAUAUCUAUAAAAGUAUAAACCAGCUCUGUCUGGGAGAAAUGUAAUGAGAGCCACAAAUGUAUUUUUGAAUUUUCUAGUAGCUGCAUUUUAAGAGGUAGAAAGAAACAAGUCGAAUUACUUUUAAUAAUAUAUUUUUUUUACCACAGUACAUCCAAAAUGUUAUCAUUUCAACAUGUAAUGAAUAUAAAUAUAUGGAUGAAUGAGAUAUUUUUACAUUCUUUCUUUUUACUAACUGUUCAAACUCCAAUGUGUAUUUUACACUUACAGCACAUCUCAGUUCAGACUUUUUUCAGCACAUUUCAAGUGCUCAGUAGCCACAUGUACUGAUUGGACAAUGCAGGUCUAAGUCAUCAAAUAAAAGGAUAAAUUAAAGAAGAAACAGAGACAACUUGCCAUUUAUUGGGAAGAGGGGAGAAAAUAAGUCAGUGCCCUUCUCAUUGAAGUCUCAUUCUUCUGUGUCCCACAUUGUCUUCUUUUCUGGUUGUGUAGGGGCUAUAGAUGUUGGGGCCCUUGCAUGUAAAACCAGCCAAGCUGAUAUUGAUGCAGCUGCCUGGCCUUCUUCUCCUGAAUUAAUGGUGCUUGAGCUCAAACUUGCAAGUAUAAAGUGUUUAUCGACACUAGUGGAUCAUCCUCAAUAUGUCCUUACUUUAAAAAAUGCUUGCACCUGGGGAGCCUCAUUGUCUCUGUGAUCUUUCACUCCACGUGACACUUUAAGAAACAAAAAUUGCUGUACGAAGGAUCAAAGUAGGAGAUUUCCAUGCCUGUUAGUUUUAUUUAAUUUUAAAAAAAUUUAAACGAAAAAGUAAAAUAACAUAGUCUGGUUGUAAAAACACCUAAUGUUAAUACAGAAGUAUAAAAUGUGAACAUUGUCUUUCCUGUACUUCUCCAAAACUCCCAAAGAUAGUCCCCUCGAUAUACUUCCAGAUCUUCCUUGUUACAAAUGAGAGAGAGAGAGAGAGAGAGAGAGAAAGAGAGAGAGUUUAUAAAUGCUAAAAUACAUAGGUACACAUGUACAUAUGUAAAUUUUUCUCACAGAAAUGGGCUUACCCGAUACUCUUCUGUACAUUGCUUAUUCGCUUUAUUUUAUCAUAAUAUGUCAGUACCUAGAGAUUUAACUCAUUUUUAAACAGAUUAAUAACUGUCAGUUCAUUUAUUUCAUAAUUUAAUUUCUUCUUGAUGGACAUUUAGGGGUUUUUUGGUCAAAAAAUACAAACAAUAUUUACUGCAAACAGUGUUGCAGUAAAAUCUUUGUGCUUAUUUUAUGGAGCAUUCGUCCAGGUAUUUCUGUACAGUAAAUUCCAGAAGUGAAAUUACAGGGUCAAAUGACAUGCAAAUUUUUUAAAUUGUGCUAGCUAAACCAAAUUACCCUGCAAAAAGUUUCAACUAAACUCUGUUUUUAGCUUGAGGUGGGAGGUAGGAUUGAGAUUCUCAAAGAUGAAGAAAGGUUGUCAAGAGUAAAGCAAGAAAAGAACUCUUAUGUAAGCCUUGCUACCUUUUCUACCACUACAUUAAAACAAUAUCAAGUGGAGGUUGGCCAUGGUGCCUUACAUCUGUAAUCCCAGCACUUUGGAAGGCCAAAACAGGAGAAUCACUUGAGCUCAGGAGUUCGAGACCAGUCUGGGCAACAUGGUGAGACCCUGUCUGUACGAAAAAUAAAAUUUAAAAAAAUCAUCUGGGCAUAGUGAUGUGCUCCUGUACUCCCAGCUACUCAGAGGCUGAAGCAGGAGGAUCACUUGAGCCUGGGAGAUGGAGACUGCAGUGAGCUAUGAUUACACGACUGCAUUCCAGGCUAGGCAACAGAGUGAGACUGUGUCAAAAAUAUUAAGUGGAAAACAUAAGUGAAUAUGGUAAUUUUAUAAAACUUUUGUUAAGUUUGGUUUGAUGCAUAAGAGACAUCUUUCAACUGUAAAAUUCACUGUGGGUUUCCUUUUUAUCAGUUGGGUAGUGAUAGGGAAGGAAUCAACCUCAUUUUGUCAGUUAAAAAAAAAUUAUCUCAGAUCACAUCCCAAGCAGUUUUUCAGACCAGUUUUUUUCCAGUGCACAGGCAGUUCAAAGAUUAUUCUACAGAAUUUCAGAAGUGCCUAGGCUUGAAGAAUAAUGUAUAUUGAGUUAUGAUAUUCCUUCCAGGCAGAAUUUAGGUGCUUCAUGUCAUUUUUCCUUCUUAGUCACCAGUGCUCAUGCAUCAUUACUUUGGAUGCCUUCUAGGUCUACUCCUUGGAAUAACUCUAGAAGCUUUUCCAUCAGCUGCUUACAAUAGGAAAAUAAUCAAACUAGUAGUUUCAAGUCUACCUGGUCAUAAAGUCUCAGGUCUACCUGGUCACAUCUUUCAGCCAUUGAGUCAGAUGAAAAUAUUCAGCUUGAGGUCCAGAAGCCACCCACUUUUGAUUAUAAAACACAGAGACAGUCACUAUUUUAUACAUUGAAAGCCAAUUCUUUUUUUUUUUAAGAGAAAAACAUACACAUUUAUUUAAUAUGUUUUAUGUGACAUGGGAGCCUUCAGAAAUGAAGACCCAAAGAAACAGAGACAACUGUGCAUUUUUAUGGACAGUCAUGCAGAAGUGUGGCCGGAAGACCAAGGGUAUGAUCUAAUGGUAAUAAACUGGGGGAAACCUGGCAAGGCCUGCUUGUUCAGGUGCAUUCUGUGUCCCCGGGUCUUCAGAGAUAAGAAUGCUCCUAUCCUCCAGGUGUAGGGUGGGCACCUCUGGAAUGAAAGUUUUAUGGCCAACUCUAAAGGAAAAUUGUGUCCUGGAUGGAAAGUCAGUUCUUACCAGUCUAAUCUUUAGUCAGUGGCAAACUUACCAUCUCAUUUUUCUCAUGAGCAGGAGGUACUUCAUAGCCCUACAAAAUAAAAAGAACCACACCUGCACAAAAUUAUUCUAGCUGGGGCUUGGACCUCCAAUCUGAGUUGAGUCUGGCCUUGGUAACUCCUUUAAAGUGUGGUGUAACAUUUACAUUUGUUUUAUUGUGUUUAUGCAAAUUUACUAGACAAUAAUAAAUAUAGUAAAUAACUUCAGGUAAAUGUAGAUUGCUGAGAUUUUAUUGUAUGCCUACAUAAUUUCCCACCAAACACAACCAAGGCGCUAAAUUACAACAAAUAGUAAGAUGUGUCAAAAGAUUCUACUAGGUCUUGUACUAAAAUGAUAGGGGGUAGUGACAAACCAAGUAACUCCAUACGGGCCCUUGCUGUGGAGUGGUCUGUGGCUGUCUGAUACCCUUGCUCUUUUGUUUUGCGCUGAGCAUCUACCUCCCAUCUGGUGUUCCUAUGGUGGCUGAAGGAGCUGGUGUCUGAUAAGACCCAGCACUUGGUUUAACUGAGAAACAUUGGGUAUAUUCUUACAGAAAUAAAAGAUAUUACCUAGCUUCUUUUAUCCCCUCCCUUCAUCUUCUUUCUCUUCUUCCCUCCCUCCACGCUCCUGUUCUCCUCCUUCUCUUCCUUCUCUUUCCCUCUCUCCCUUUGUCCUUCUCUCCCUCCCACUUUAACCAUAGGAAAUAUAGAGCAUUCCGCAUGGUCUUUCGCCUUUAACCUUCUCUGGAAAUACAUGAUAGAAUUGGGUUUGUGAUUUAUUGCUCCAGUUUUGCUUGCCAAAUUAAAUUUACAGGUAUUAGAAUGUACUCAUAGAUAGGAUUGUUUAAGAGUUGUUGGCUGCUUAGGAGCGUGUGUGUAUGUGCAAAUGCACAUACAUGCACUUUUAUAACAGGAAAAAGAAAGGUGUGACAGACAGCUGCAGACAUAUGGAUUGUACUUACUUGCUAAUUGAAACAUUGCAAGGGACAAUUCAAGAUGGCAGAUUUCUAGUGGAGAUUAGAUUUUACCAUGAACUGAACUGGAUACUACCAGCUCUUCUCUUAUCACUGGCACAGAGUUUGCUGGACAUUCCCAGUCUAAAACUUGGGAGGAGAUCCAAUACUUUGAAAGUUGGGCAACAAGAGCGUGCCAAAUGUGUUUGCACUGUGUUGCCCAACCAUUUAAUUGUAAUAAUUUGACAUGCUAAUAUUUCAAUAUUCAGAAGUAAUUUGGAAGCCAAUUGCUUUAUCUGUUUUGCUUAUCAGAGUCAUAUUGAAUUCUCUAGGCAUCAGCAUGCAAUAAACUUGUUUUCAAAGGCACUCUGUUAGGUGGCAUACAGCCCUGAUUAAAAACAGCACUGAACUUAGACAUGUUUCAUUUUUUUCUCUAACCUAGUACCUUUUUUACAGAUUGCAUAUUAACAGCUUAUUUUUGCAUUUACCUCUGUAAACCCUCAAUCAAAAUUUAUUUAAAAUAUUGGGAGCUUUUAGUUUAAAGUGAUACCUACUGGCCCCUCAAAACAUCCAGCAUUAAAAAACUAAGACUGGCAGUGAAAUAAUUAUCAAAAUUAUAGGAAGAAUUUUCAUUUAGCCAGAACUGAAUUGAAAAAUCCAUUUGGUGGCCAGGUGCAAUGGCUCACACCUAUAAUCCCAGCACUUUGAGAGACCAAGGUGGACAGAUCACUUGAGUCCAGGAGUUUGAGACAAGCCUAGGCAACAUAGGGAGACUCUGUCUCUACAAAAAAAAAAAAAAAAAUGAUCCAGGCAUGGUGGCACGUGCCUGUAGUCCCACCUUGGGAGGCUGAGGUAGGAGAAUAGCUUGAGCCUGGGAGAUUGAGGCUGCAGUGAGCCAUGAUUGUGCCAUUGCAACCCAGCCUGGGUGACAGGCUUUUUUCUGUCUCAGAAAAAUAUACAUAUAUAUAUCCAUUUGGUGACACAGGUUUGUUAUGUGCACCUGGAAAUAGGUAGAUCUUUAUUCCCCUCCCUCAAGUCCCCUUGUUUCAGAAACACAAGGUUGACUUCGGUUCAGAAAAUGGCCAGCUCUUCCCACUACCUUUCCUGUUGAGAGCUCCAUAGUGCUGUUGUCUUACCUACUCCACAGUAUUACAUCUUUUGCUCUCUCGGGUAAGACGCUUCAAAUACCAGAAAACACAUACAUGCAAAAAGGAACUAGGGGUCUGGAGGUGAGAAGAAUGGGAUAUUUAGUAAGUGGGGACAGAGACAUAAGAGUAAUAUUAGAAGAAACAUGGUAGAUAUAAACAUCUAAGCUACUCAGAGACCAUUAAAUAUUUACAGAAUAAGUUCAAAGUAAUGUCUACAUUGCAUUGACUACAAAUUGUCUGGUUAGAUUGCUCCUCUUAGAAAAUGAAAAACAACUAUCUAAAAGAAAAAAUGAUUGUAACUUUUGAAAAAAUACUACUAGAUAGGGUAAAGUAACACUUCCCAAAAGACUCAAAAAACCAAAGAAAAAAAUUCUGAAAGUGAUUAGCUAAAUCAGAAGAAAAUUUCUAAAAGUCAGUAGACUGAGAAGAAUGCUAGAAGACAUACUCUCUAAAACAGAAAAAAAAAAAGCCACAAGAAUUGAACACUCUAAAAUGUGAAAACAGCAAUCUGAGAUGGAGAGACCAAUGAUAAGUGGAAUUGUAAGGAAACUGAGUAUAUAGCACAGUUAAAAUCUGAUAGGAAGCAGUAAAACAUAGAAUUAAUACUGUAGGAAAUGGAACCAUUGACAUAAAGGAUGAUAUUGGAAGUUCUCACAAAAUACUGAGAAAAAAGGAAAAAAGAUUUAUAAAAUGGUGAGAAACUGACAAACAUGAAGGAUAAAGAAUAGAAAUCUGGCCUAAGAAAUUGAUGAUCUUGAGGCCGGGUGCAGUGGCUUACACCUGUGAUCCCAGCAUUUUGGAGGUCAAGGCAGGGGGAUUGCUUAAGCCCAGGAGUUUGAAACCAGCCUGGACAACACGGUGAGACCCUGUCUCUAAAUACGAAAAGAGAAAGGAAAUUGAUGGUCUUAAAAUGCAGUAAUAAAAGCCAUAAUUAAAGAAACAUGUUCCUAAACUGAGGAAAAACUUGAGUACACAAAUUAAAAGAUCCUGUAAUAUUUGGGGGAAAAUCAUUAAAAAGAGACAUUAGUACUUGAGAUGCUCAGGGCUGUGAAUACAGAAAACUCAUUCUGGAUCCACUAAAGAAUAAAAAACUUGUUGACUCACAUAAACGGUGAUUCCAGAGAUAGGUGAGCAUCAGGGUUGGCUUAAUCCAGAAGCUGCAGCUCCAUUUCUCUAACAUUCCCUUUUCUAUGUCUUGGCAUCUUCAAAGGCUGUUUUCAUUCAUUGGCAAAGCGGUUACAGUAGUUCCAGGUUUCACAUCUGCCCUGCAGGAUACUCAGAUAAAGAGUACGUUCUUCUGUGUCAGGAUUUCAAACAGGAGCCCUGAGAUGCAUUCUUAGGGCUGCUUGUGAUGUGGGCCUGCAGUGGAACCAGUGACUGAGACCGGAACAAAGGAAUUUGCUUAUCAGAUAGAUGGUAGAUUGAAGAACAUCAGUGUUGUGCUACAAGGUGAAAGGGGAGACAAUCCAUGGAAUUCACUCCAAAGAUUGACGUGGAGCACAUUUGGAAAAAUGUUUGAAUUGCAGGGAGAAAGAAAAGAACCUACAAGGAUAAAAUACGUUUCUAUUAAAGCUAUACACAAAGGAAAGAAAAUCAAGCUGGCCUCAGACUUCUCUCUUGUUGAACCAAAGCCAGAGGAGAAUAGGGAAAAUUCUACAACUUUGUUGGGGGCUAAGUCUAUAACCCAAGAACUUUAUUUUCAGCUAAGUUGUCUUAAUGUGUGAAGGCAACACAAAGUUUAGUGAUGCAAGGAUUCAGUUUCUAUUUGUAUAUUUGUUAAAUACCCAUUGGGCAUUUACCUGAGCUGAGAAGGAUAUCAAAAUCCAUACAUCAAGAACAGGAUGCCAUACUAUGAAAGGACUGGUAUGAAAGGGUUGCCCUGUAGUGAUACUGUCACAGAACCAACAUCCAGCUCUUCACAGAAGCUCUGAGAACUAUGACUUCAGCAGACCUCACCUGUUUGUACUGGCCGUGUUAAUGACCCUAUAGGAAUGUGGUUGGGUUAGUAUAUUUUUCACAACAGCGUCUGGAUGAGGUUUAAAAGCAAAUAAUUUCAUUAUGAAUUAUUAGUUCUUAUUAUGAGACUAGCCCUGUAAUUGGACCUCAGAAAUUCCCCCCUGAAAAGCUUCAGGCAGAGUGUACCAUCAGAUUUAAAAGUCUAAUUAAGUAUGACUAAAAUUAUGUUUCAUUUUACCCUACCUUUGACUAGAAAGAAAUGGUCUCUAAAGACCUAAAAAAUAAAUAUAUGAAAGGCUAUUCAAAGUGAAAAACCAAAGAUGAAAUGGAAAGGGAGAUGAAUGAGAUAAGAAAGAAUUAUAAAGACGUAAAAUGGAGUAGCUAAAUUACAGUCCCCUUAAGGCAGACAGCAAAUAACAAAAUUGACACUUUAGGAGAAUUGAGAAAGUGAUGCAAAGGCAAAUAGGGUUAAACUCUCAGGUGGGUGAUGUGUUCCUUCUGAUAUCAUGUCUUGCAUUUUUCCCAAUUUUCUUAACAUGCAUUUCUCUACUUGAAGAUGAUCUAUAUUAAUACAAAAAGUGAAAUUAAUCAAAAUGUUCAGUAUUUGUGGAACUGCUUAAUAAAUAACAAUCUAUCAAUACGUUAUGAAAUGUUGAAAUUCAAAAGUAUUUGUGCUGUAGUGUUCCUCCCUAUAAGUGAGCGUGUUGACUCUCAUUCAUGUUAUUGGAUUACAUUUCCAAUAUUCAGUGUUAUAAAUAUUACUGCAUCCCUUACCCAUUGUUAAAAUAUUGAUGUGCUUCCAGACCCAUUGGUAAAGAGCCCCUCCUUGGAGUGCCCCAGCUCCCUGGAUGCCCCUGCCCCUCUCCAAGAUCCCAGGGCCUCCCUAAGAUUCCACCACUAGAGAGUUAACAGCUGACACCAGUGUUCUUCCAUGUCAAAAAAAAAAAAAAAAGUUUUUUAGUAUUAUUUCAGGUUAUAGAAAUGCAUUCCUGGGAGUAGACAUUUGCUGUUAUUCCUGUAUUCUCUUUAAGCCCCCUGAAGUCACUCUGUUUCUGGCAGUGGUUUCUUCCAGCUACCACUUGCACAAAUGCUGGUCUAGAGCAAUUCAUUAUGCUCCUUAUAAUAUCAAAGACCUUCUACUCCUAGUCCCUAACUCACUUCUGAUCUUUAUCCUGUUUCUUGGACCUUAAAGGCUUCUGGAAAUGGGUAAAAUUUAGAAUUUAAUGUCAGUGAAAUUCUUCUUUUGGUUUUGUUGUUGUUGUUGUUUGUUGUUUUGGGGCAGAUUUAGCAUUAUCAUUCACCCCUGUUAGCCAUCUUGGCACAGAAAUGUUCACCUGAAGUGGUACCCAGAAUGGUCCCCUAAUAUAUCUACACCCUAAACACUAUGAAUUUGUUACAUUACAUAGCAGAAGGGAUUUUGCGGAUGUAAUUAAGGUUAUGAACCUUACCAUAGGGAGAUUAUUCUGGAUUAUCUGAGGGGGCCCAACCUAAUCACAUGAGUCCUUUAAAAACAGAACUAGCCUCGCACCGUGGCUUACGCCUGUAAUCCCAACACUUUGGGAGGCCGUGGCAGGAGGAUCCCCUGAAGUCAGGAGAUCGAGACCAGCCUGGCCAACAUGGUAAAACCCCAUCUCUACUAAAAAUACAAAAAUUGGCUGGGUGUGGUGGCGCAUGCCUGUAGUCCCAGCUACUCGGGAGGCUGAGGCAGGAGAAUCACUUGAACCUGGGAGGCAGAGGUUGCAGUGAGCCGAGAUUGCACCAUUGCACUCCAGCCUGGCAACAGAGCGAGACUCCGUCUAAAAAAAAAAAAAGAGAGAGAAUUUUCUCAGGCUAGAAGCAAAAGAGAUGUGAGAGAGAGACUCCAAGUAUGAGAAGGAUCAAACAUGCUUUGCUGGCUCUGAGACGUAGCAGCCACAUUAGGAACCAGAGAGAGACCUCUAGGAACAAUGGGCAGCCCCCAGCUGUCAACUGGCAAGGAGACAGGGACCUCAGUCUUACAACCACAUCAGACUGAAUUCAGCCAACAAUCACGUAUGAGAUUGGAAGCAGAUUUAGCCCCAGAACUUCCAGAAUGGAACACAGCUCUGCCGACACCUUGAUGUCAGCUUUGUACAACUCUAACAGAGAACCAGCUGAGCCAUGCCAUACUUGGACUUUUGACCUACAGAGCUGUGAGAUGAUACAUGAGUGUUGUUUUUUUAAGCCACUAAAUUGGUGGUAAUUUGUUACAACAGCAAUAGAAAUUAAUAUGCCAACAUGUAAAAUAACAGCAACAACAAAAAAAAACAACAAAAGAUCGUGGAAUAAACAAUAAACAUUGCAGAAAACACAGUUCUGAAUGCCUGUUGUCGCGCUCUGGCUGAGAAUGUCUACACAGUAAUGAGCACCAAAUCUGAAGGCCAAAAGCACUCAGUAGGAGCUUUAUUCUCUGCACUCCACUCACAACAUACAAAAAGGAUUGGGGUUUUAGGGGGAAACAUGAGUGUGUAUGUAUCUGUGUAUCAUUUUUGGUAAGAAAAAUAUUUUAGAGAUGAACCAUUUUAACAAAGUGGCCUUGUUGUAGUGCUGUAAUUAAAAGAGGGUGGGUGUAUUGUUUGUAGCUUCUUGUUUGUUUACUUAAAGUCAGUAUUGCAUAUAGUAACAAAUUGGUGAGAAGAAAAAACUAUACAAAGGGGAGAUUGUUUUGGCAAUGGUACAUGCUGUCCUAUUUGUAUUUUACUUCUUCUGGUACAAUUGUAAAGCUUAGACAAGCUUUUCAAGAUGUGUUAGCACAAGGUCUGGUUGUUAUUUAUGGUUCCUAAGCUCUGAAGGCUACUUACCUAGGCUCAACCCAACUAGAAGGUAAAGUGAAUUGCUUUGUGGUAUGAAUUACACUGGUAAUGUGGAAGUUUGCUGACAUAUGCUGUAAUUCCAAAGGUAGUUAAGCACAGGAGUUGAUGUUGGAGCCAGACUGUCUGGGUUUAAAUCCUAGCUCUUCCACUUACUAGCUGUAUAGCCUUGGCCAAGUGACAGAACCACCCGUGCCUCAGUUUCCUUUUCUGUGAACAUGGAUAAUAAAACUACCUCUCUCAUGGUUUAUUGUGAGAAUUUUAGAAUAUAAAGUGCUCAAAAUGGCAUUGUAGCACAUCAAUUGGAAGCAAUAAAUGUUAGCUAUAACUAUGAUUGUUAUCCUUGCCUUAAACAUGAAAAUAUUCAUGAAAUUGGGGCAUUCGGGCUCCUUGGACACAAGAAACAAUUAAUCCCAAGGAUCCCCCCAGGUGAAGAUGGCCCAACCACCUGUAUGAGAGAAGCAAACCAGGACAUCCAGUCACCUGUUAGGCCCUUCUGUCCCCACUUCACUGGUGUUUUUAACUUCAAAUUAGUGAGGCUUUAUAGAUAAUGUUGGCAUUAUAGCAGUCCUUGCCAUAAAAAUCUUCAUUUUUUAACAAUUGACAAACGCAUUUCUCAAUCUGCUGUUUCAUGGAAUAGUGUUUCAUGAGAUAAUAAUGGGCAUGCUGUGAAAUGAUCGGUCAAUACUAAAAAUUUGGGAAACACGAGCUUAAAGGUUUCUGUGACUCAGGGCUUAUCACAGCCCUCAUUAUUAAUGUAAAUUUUGAAUUUCCAAAGAUAUAUACAUAUAGUGCAUAGCUCCUCAAAUAUAUUUGACCGUGAGACUUUUUUUUUUCAAGAUAUGCCUCUUAAAAUUUCCUGGAAGUGUUCUUCACAUCCAGCUUGGGAAACAACUGCCCUAAAAUAGGAGCAUAUUUUACCAUUAUUAUUUAACAUUUAUGAAUUAAGAUGAUUAUGAAUUGUAGCUUGUUGUAAAGGAGAUUUUUAUACUUACAUAUCCCAAAUGUAUAUGUUUAUGUAUGUGUAUCCAUAGUAAAAACUAAAACUAGAUAAAGCAGUGAAGAGUCUAUUUCUCACUUUGUAGAUUAAAAAUGGUCCUUGUUAGGUCAAAUUAAUGAUUUUUCCCAGUAGUUCUUCUCUGACACAGAUAAUGAGAUCAUCUUAUAGAUGGUCACUUGGCAAACACUCGGUCAUCCAAUACGUAUUGAACUGGGCAUUCUAGGUUUGUCAUCCAUCACUUUAGUGAGGCCUUUUAUAAAAUAAUUUGUAGUUUCAGCCAGCACCAUUUAUUGAGAUGGUAAGUUCUAUAAGGUUAGUAUCCUGUAUGUGAAGAAAUUCCUUUCUAUUGACAUAAACUUACCUCUCUCAAACAUCAGGGAUUCAUCCCUUCACUUGAUAUUCAAGACUGGUGAAUACAACCAAGUUUACUUUUGUUGAUUUUAUAUACUUCAGCCUUAUCCUCUACCCCUUUGGUCUUUGUCUUUCUCAACUAAAAAGUCCCCAUUUUUUGGUUUGUCACUUGACUCAUGUCAAGACCUGCGAAGGAUGUGAGAUUUUUCCCCUAUUUGCAGGUUAACAAAUUAGUCUACCACAGUUUCAUGAAUGCUGGCAAAAGACACAAGACUCUUGGGUUAGAGACAAAGCCUAGUUUAUUACUCACAGCAAUAGCAGUAGCUACAGUAUCAGCAUUUGCACCAGAUUCCCAAUUCCCAUAGGAAAAUAAGAAGGGGGGCAGAUGACACCUGCAAGCACGCACGAACACACUUACACACACACAUACCCACACACACACACGGGUUGUGUUACAAAAACGAAUCCCCAACAUGAAUCUUUUAUAAUGGUCAGUUAAGUCGGCCUUACCUUUGCCCCAGCAGAAGCUAUUAUCAUGUUUAAGAGCAAACAAACCUGCUCAUGCUAUAGAGGGAGACACUAUCAUCUUCCAAAGCAGUUUACUUGAAAAUCUAAUCCAGCACAAAUGCAGUUAGUGUCUCUACUUGCAAGAUGUGCAGAAAUACAAAGGGCCCAUGCAGAAUUGUCUCCCAACAGGGAACAGCUGUCCCCUGCGUCCACUACACCACUGUUCCUUCCUCUGAGACCUUUCAAGUUUCAUUAUACACACAUCAAGGUCUGUAGCCAAACCUGCAAUAUUUAGAUGAAAAUAUAUUGGUGCAUUUAUUUCUUACUAUAGAACUUAAACUCCACAGGGCAAGGAUCUUUGCUUUGUUUACUUGGAUAUCCCAGAGGCAGAGAACUAUAUCCAGCACAUAGUCAGCAUUCAAUAAAGAUUCGUUGAAUGAGUAUAUGAAUUUCCUGUAUUCUUAUUUGGAUCCAUAAGUUUAUUGGCUUUGCUGUGCAGAAGCAGCAGUUAUAUCGGUCCCUUCAAGAAACUGCCUGCAGAGAUUCCUGGAGUCAUCUGCCUGGAGCAUUGCCCACUCACCUCCUCAACUCACCUCCUGGCUGCUCCACGUCAUUCUUCCAAUCUCAUCUUAAAUGUUAUUUCCUUAAAGAAACCUUUCCUGACCCAGAGUAAAAUCAGUACCUUCGGGUAUUCACUCUCACAACACCUUGACUUUUUUCCUUCAUAGCACUUAGCACAGUUUGCACUUAUAUUUAUUUUAGUGUUUUCUGGCUUAAAACCUGUUUGCCCUAUCACUCAUGAAACUAUAAACCAGACCCUCUCUAUUUUACUCACCACUGUAUAACUAGUACCUAACAGAGCAUGGCAUAAAGUGGCUACUAAGUAAAUGAAUAAUGAAUAAAUGAAUGAACAUACUGCAGCCUGUAGGUCAGAGCCCAUCACUCUGUGAGUAGCUCUGGCAUAAAAUGGGCCAAAUGCAUCGUUUGCUCCUUGCCUUUUUCAAAACAGUUUUCCCAUGUUUCUCUUCAGUCACUUAGUCUCAAGAUUUUUCUUCAGUAGAGUUUAGUCAUUUUUUUAUUUUAUAUUCCCAGAAAGCACUUAAUUUUAAAUUCAGAGGUUUUAUGUCAUUUUACUAAUCAAAACAGUAUAAACAUAUUAAGUCAAUACUGGUCCUAGCAUUAUUCCUUUGGUAGUUCUAAUGUUUACACUUAAUAUAUUUAACUCAGUUGCAUAAUAAGGAAAUGAAACUUACAGAAGAAUCCCAUGGGAUUCUUCUCUCAAUUAAUGAAUGAGCAAAUAUUCUUUGAAAACCUACCAGGUGCUGGCCAGGCGCAGUGGCUCAUGCCUGUAAUCCUAGCACUUUGGGAGGCCAAGGUGGGCAGAUUACCUGAAAUUGGGAGUUUAAGACCAGCCUGGCCAACAUGGUGAAACGCUAUCUCUACUAAAAACACAAAAAUUUGCCAGAUGUGAUGGCAGGCACCUGUAAUCCCAGCUACUCGGGAGGCUGAGGCAGGAGAAUCGCUUGAACCUGGGAGGGAGAGGUUGCAGUGAGCCGAGAUCGCGCCACUGCACUCUGGCCUGGGUGACACAGCAAGACUCCAUCUCAAAAAAAAAAAAGAAAAAGAAAAAGAAAAAAGAAAACCUACCAGGUGCUUACAAUCAUUCUGGGCACUGUGGAAGAUAGCAAAAACCUGAAGACUGAGCCUGAAGGAGGUUAUAACUUACAUGAGCAAAUAAAAAUGUGCAUGAUGUGUUAGCAUGUAAUAAUUAGCAAACAGUAUCAGACCAGGCAUAUGUAAGUGCUGAGCCACAUGGUACAGAUUUUUAAAACUGUUAAGAGCUUAGAAAAGUCAGAUAUUACCCUGAACUAGAAUAAUAGGGGCUUCCUGAAGUUAGUCCUGAGCUGGAUUUUGAAGAUGUUUGAUUGGAUAUUUAACAAGAACUUCAUUAGGCAAGCCACAAAAAUAGCAGUGCAUUCAUUCUCAGAAAAGCAAGACCUGGCUGUACUGGAAGGUAUAAGUUGGGAAAUAGUGUCGUGUAUGCACAAUCACCGUUGGAUUAUAUGAAUCACACAGUCUUUAUGACUCCUUUUCCAUUCAAUUCAAUACCAUACAGAGAUAAAGCCACACCUUUGGACAAAUACAGCCGGGGUGUGAGCCGCCAAAAGAUGGAGCCUUACUAAGGAGUAUCCACGAAGUAAAUAAACUCCGAAGGAAAGACUUGGAAGGUCAUCCAACAUACUCAUAAAUUCCAGCUAUUGCCAAAGAUGAAAGGGAAGUGAGAGCCAUGAGGAACAAUAGGAAGGAGUGCCCCUGCCCCCUCUUAACUGCCUGUUUACAGGAGGGGAGGAGCAGCAGUGCUGCCCAGAUGGCAGAGCCAAAGUUAGAAUGAAGCUUCUUCCUCACCCUAAGACCUCUUUAGGAAAUCCUGUUUGUGACGGUGGCUUCACUGUGAAGUCAUCAGGAGCCCCCUCCCCGGGUUGCAGGAGCACACUUCUGGAUUGAACCAUGGUUUCUAAUGCUGCUUGGAAAUCUUAUUAUCAUGUGCACUCAGCAAGAUAGAAACUGCAUAUCAGGUGAAGCUUGGGUCAGACUUUAUUUUGCAAGCAUUUACUUAUCUUUCUUGUACGAUGGAAAUGCUGGCAACACAAUAGCUUAAAAACAAGAUAAGCCUCAUCUUUUUUCCUGUGUGGGUAUGUUAGGGAAUGAUGGUUUUGAUGGCCUUUAAAAAGCAGGAAAGGGCAAAGCCCUGUGAUGCCAUUUCUUUGGCAUUUCAUUACUUCAUUAAGAGAAUUAUCCUAAAAGCCUGGGAGCUGUAAUACGGCUUAAAAACUGAUGAGAGCUGAGUGAAAACACCAUAGACUCCAAACCAAAUUAACCAGAAGGUUCAUCCCAAAGAGACCCGCUUUUAUAUUCGCACCUGGGGUGUGUACUUUUCCUUCUGCCACUCAAGAGCUUUUGCGUGUGGGGGUGAACAAUUUGCUUUCCAUGCCAAACCCGAUGAAAUGGGAUUUGUCUUCCCUCUCAGACAGGUGGCCAAGCUGUAACAGAGAGGGCUCUGCCUGGCUGCUUGCCUCUUUGGACAUGCAGCACUGUCAGUGCAGCGCCAGGCCCCAUAUCUGACCCUGUGGCCUCACAAUCUGGAGGCCCACAUUGGCAGCCUGGGGUGGUGACAGCUUCGGUCAGUUGUUGUGGAGUUCCACUGGCAGACAAAGAAGAGUAGGCGAGUGUGCUGAUCCAGGUUCCUUCUGUAUGAUAGAAGAAACCUCUAAGGUCCUGGUAAUGUGUGAACCAGUGGAAUACCUGCUCCAAUAAUUAAAGUAUGAGCUUUCCUUCCUCUUUUUCAGGGUGGACCAGGCCUUGGGAAAGGAAUUUUGGCCUUCCCAGACUGUACACAUUACUUAAUGUGUCCUUCUACACUUAUUACAUGCAUCAGGAGCAGAUUUCACAAGCCUUCUUCCUAUGAGACUAGGUUAGUCACUAGGGUUAAUUAUUCAGUAGUUAAAGGAAAUAUUGUGAUGGAGGGAAAAAUAGAUUUCCAGAAGCCAGGGAGUAGAGGGCCUCAGAACAUCAAAUUGCUCCAUGAAGAGAGUACACAGCCAUUUUUAUUUCAGUCUUUGAACAUGAGAUAGUAAUCGUGAUUUGAAUUCUCUAAACCUCAAAAAUAUUCCCUUCUUAGCUGUAAAUAGCCACUUGUCCCAACCCCAUAUAUCCAUGGGGAGCUUCUGUUCUCCCAGAGAAAAUGCAGUUAAUUAUAGCAAAGAAAGGGACCCUAGGUCUCCCCUUCCUGCCUUAAGAGUAAUCUCCAGUAUCUCUACUCAUGAGAUAAUAAAAUGUAUCAUUUUCAGAAAUUUGAAGAAGGUAGGUCAGGACUCACCAGUGCUGUUUCAAAAGCCUUUUGGUUGUGAGUGCCACAUCUGACCACUGCACAGAUAGCACUGAGAAAGAAAAUUGGACCCAGUUCUCUGCUUUUGCCUUCCAUUCUCCCUGUAAGGGUCCACGUGAACAGCAAGUUUGGCCUGGUUUCCUUAGGUCCCUCUGGGCCCAUUUCUUUUCUUUCAUCAUCUUUCCUAAAGCUGAUAUGACAAUUCCAUGGGGAAGAAACAAAUAGUACACUUGGAUGAACUUUGCGAAACACAAAGACCUUUCCUCUUAUCCCUGAUUCUAAAGGGAUUUUUCUGUAUUUAAUAAGUAAAUAAAUGAGAACAGUUUUAGACUGAAUAGUAAGUGUCCCAUUUAUAUCAUAUUUGUGAUGUUUUGAACAGGGUGAAGGAAACCAUUCGUGAUAAAGCACAUGGAUUAAAAAUCGUGGUUGACUUGUUUAACAGAACCCAAGUCAUAAAGCUCCCUUGAAGAGUACUCAAAAAUUCUAGCUACAACCAAAGAUGAAAAGAAAGUGAAUAGACCUCAGCAGGCCUGCCUCCUCUGUUUCAUCCUUUAGGUUAAAUGUCACCUCCUUAAAGAGGCUUUUUCUAUUAUUCUCCACCAGCAUAUCUUAUUUUCUUCAUAACACUUACCACUUAUUUAAUGAUUUUCUUUCUCCCUAAACUGUAAGCCUCACAAGGGCAGGGACCACGUCAGUCUUAUUUCUGUGUUCCCUACACUCAGCAUAGUGAUAAGCACAUCACAGACUCCAAAUGUGCUGAAUGAGUGAAUGAGCUGCUGAAGCGUGCUAUAAUGGCAAACCUGUUCCAAGUUCUUCAUGGACUUACAGACUCCUCUGGAUCACCUCUUUCUUUUCUUAGAACCAACUGAAGAAUACUACUUGGUCUCAACAUCAGGCUUACCAGUGUUAUUCCCAUUAGUUCAUUUGUAUUUUUUAAAACCCGGGAUUUGGCCGGGCGUGGUGGCUCAAGCCUGUAAUCCCAACACUUUGGGAGGCCAAGGCAAGCAGAUCACUUGAGUCCAGGAGUUCGAGACCAUCCUGGGCAACAUGGCCAAACCCUGUCUCUACAAAAAAUUAGUCAGGUGUGGUGGUACAUGCCUAUAGUCCCAGCUACCUUGGAGGCUGAAGUGGGAGGAUCACCUGAGCUCAGGAGGUCAAGGCUGCAUUGAGCUGUGAUCACACAACUGUAUUCCAGCUUUGGUGACAGAGGUAGACCCUGUCUCAAAAAAAAAAAAAAAAAUUCUUUUUUCAGCCUGAGUCUCAAGUCCACUAGCAGUUCCGUAGUCAUAGCCAAACGAUGCGAUGUAGUGAAGUGGUCAUGAGAGCCAGCUUUGGAGCAUCUAGUUGUCUCUAUCACUUCUUAGCUCAAUGAUGAUGAGUUAUCAUUAACCAUCCCUCAACCUCAGUUUCCUCAAUUGUAAAAUGAGGAUAUUAAUAUAUAUCCCCCACAUAGCAUUGAUCUGAGGUUAAACAGUAUGUAUAAAGCACUUCACUUUUGUCUUUUUGCAUUGUACAUGUUCAGUGAAACUUAGCCACUGAACUUCCUGUUCAUAAUGUUAAAUUACCUUGGUGUAUCACUUUUCUAGAACAGGAUAAAGGAUGGCUUCUUCUCAGAGGUAACAGAAGACAUUAGAAGAAUUCAGAAUCAAAAAAGUCCAAGGACCUGGAGUACUGGGAUUCUAGACAGAACCUCAAGCGUGGGGUACACAGCAUGAACUGAGGUCACAGUGGGCUGGGCGGCAUGGCCAAAUGACUCAAUAGUGAAGUGAUGACUAAUCAUUGUAGUGCUCCUUAUAUCUCUCCCCCUAUAUCCCACCACAGUCACCACAAAGGCCAGAGCUGGUCCUAGAGUCUGGCAAAAGGCUGAGCAUGAAAUUCCUCACAGAAUCCAGAGGGCAGUCCCCAAGGCUCUCAGAGUCUUACUCUGAGCCACAGGAAGAAGUACCUUACGCCAGCUCACAGGGGAACUCCAAACAGUCAGCAGGAAGAAACUCAGUCACUCAGAUGAAAAUGAUGGUGUCUCACCAUUCUUCUAUGCAGUUUUCUAAGGGGCAAGACAGAGACAUUUGGCUGUGAGACAUUAAUUAAUCGAACAGAAUGUACUUUAACUGUUACCUUUCUUAUCUAAGGCUGUGUGGCCGGCUCACUGGUUUUAGUCAAGUAAAGAGCAAUGACUUAUGCAUUUAAUGAUCUCACUAGACAUAAUUUCCUUUCAUAUUGGUUUGUAAGACAGGUGCUAUCCUCUCCCAUCUCAGGUGGAGCUCAGAAGGCCCAUUUGUUCUAAUAUUCCUGAACCAUGUAGGAUCAGCAAUCUGGACUGUUUUUUAAAAAUCUUAUAAAAAUCUGUAUAAUGUAUGCAUCUUAUGUAAGAUUAUUUUUUAAAUAGUAUGUAUUAUGUUCUUUCAUUUAACAAAAAUAUACAUGGUUGUUGUAGAGCUUUUAAAAUACGAGUAAAGAGUAUAAGUCUAUAGUAUCUUGUUAUACCAGAAAGUAAGAAAAUGCUCAAAAAAUAUGGGAACAUACCAGAAAGGCACAGAAUUUAGCUUGAAGGAGCCACUGGACAAAUAUAAAACAAUUUGGGCAUCAAAAUACAUAAUUAUAGUAAAGGAUUAUAACCUCCUGAAUAAAAUUAAAAUCCAUGAGUCCAUGCUGAUAUAAAUAAAGUGGGAGAAAAGAGAGCUUUGUCUUACAGUAGACUGACAAUCAAUAAUAACAGAGUGAAUGAUGGAGUUAGAAAAUCAUCAAUGGAUGAUGCUAAAACUACUGAGUGGAAAUUUCAUCAAGAGAUUUACGUAGUGUCAAAAUGGCUCUUUACAAGAUACUUACUUUAAAAAUAAAAAUAGGAAAAGAAAGAGGAAAGAAAAAUAAACCAUAAACCAGUGACCAAGAGAUGACCAUUACUAAUGGUUUAAUAGUUAUCUUUCAACUGUUUUUCCUAUGCAUUAUAACAUUUUAAUUUUCUUGUAAAAUUAGAUCAUGCUUUUUUGUAAUCUGCUUUUCUUAUAUAAAAAUAUAUCUGGAUCUUAUUUAUUUGUAUUUAAAUAUUCCCUGGUACAUAGUAGGCAUGUAGUAAAUAUUGGUUGAGUGAAUGAAAUUUGCAAGACUUUAAGGAAAGCUGUGAUGCACAUUGGUGUAAGUAAAGUUUUUUUCAUUCUCAUGAUUAUUCCUUUAGGACUAACUCCCGGAAGUGGAAUAGUGAUACAAAGCAUAUUCAAAACCCUGAGCCCUUUGAUACGUGGAGCCAAAUUGCCCUCCAGAAAGAUUUUUCUACUUUAUUUUCCCUCCAGGGGUGUAUUAAAUGAAUGUCAUUCAAUACAUUUUUAAGGAGGAAGAUUGGGAUUAAAUGUGUGUGAAAUACCCAGAGUAGACCCAGAAGUCGUCAGUCAGAAAGUAAUAGUCAUCCAAAUUCUUUUCCCUGUAUCUGUAGGUUAGAUUCUGUCAGGACCAAAAGCUGGGAUUAGUAAGAGUUGUCAAAGCCUUCAGUCAUAGAAAAUGGAGUUUUUGUUGAUACGGGAAGCUCCAAGUUGGGAUAGACUCUUAUUUUCAUUAAGCCAGUCAUAUACCGUAUAAUGUGCUAUACCAUCCUUCUUUUGUAUCUAUUGAAAAAUCCUAUCAGCUGCACUGGACCUGAAGUCUACUAUGUCAAAGUAAAUGAUAAAGAGAAAAACCUGGUUCCUGUUUAUGAUAGGCUAGCAUUGAACAUCACUGUUAUCAACACAGAACCUCCAUGAGGGCCCCCUUCCAUUUGCACUUUGAUGCUGGCUACUUAGCACACUUAACACCAGCUGUUUCCAGUGCCGUUGCCAAAGGUGGGCAGAGCAAGGUGCAGGAUACAUAUACGUUCCAUGGGCAGCUGAGCGGCGUGCUCUCUUGUGCUAGCCAGUGCCUGUGGCAACCCUUCCCUCCUGACUUCAGCCUCCCCACUAGUUGCAGCCAGGUGGUGUAUUAUCUCCUGAUCUAUAUAUACAUUAAACAUAUUAUUAAGGAGAACCCAGAAGAAGAUAUUUAGAGAGAUAGAUACCCUUGGAUUCAAAAGAUGAGCAAUCAGAAAAAUUAUACCAUAAUUUGAAUUUGCUUAUAUUUUCCUUUUUGGCUUUCACUGGCUAGCAUGUUCUCAAGUGAUGACAGUUGGGCUGAUUGAGAGCCGUUAGUCAAAUCCAGUAACAGUAUUAAUCUGUGGUUGGAAAUGACUGUUAAAGUAAGUGCCAGGCUAUUCAGUUGUGGUUUUUAUUCCAGCUUCCAAUGGUGCCAGGCUUCCAGCAGGAGGAAUAGAGGCUGUGGUAAAGGAAACCGUUGGCAAAUGAAAGAAACCAGAAACUGUCACUACCCAUAACAACGAAACAACAAAAAAAUUUACAGAAAAGGAAGGGGAGACAAAGGAAAUUGUUUAAAGUGGUUGAAGCCUGUACAGUCUGAUGUGAUCAUUAGGCGUGAGGGUGCCGCAGCAUGGUGGUGCCUAAGACACUGACUCCAAUUUUCCAGUGAGAACAGGAAGGCUUUAAGCACCAAAGCCAUGCUGUCCAGUAAUACUGCUGAGCAAGAAAGCUUUUCUUGAAGGAAGAGAAUAGCGUUUAAUUGAGACUAUUUUUGUCAGUCUCCUAACAUGCUCCUCAGACCACUAAUAUGCAAAAGAACCUAAGGAUCUGGUCACCAAGUUACGUCAAAAGAGUUUACCCCAUAGUCCUUUUUACUGCCUUUUGCAGAACAAACGUUUAAUAAUGUCGCUAUUGUUCAUUGGUUAUCAAGAAAUAACUCAUUGUAACUCAGAAGUGCUUAGCAAAGAAUCUAUCUCAUAUGUACUUUCUUUAUUUCAAGAACUUUAAGGAGGCAGGUUUUCUACGUGUGUUCACCAAAGCGCCAAGAUUUUUUUUAAUAUUUUGAGAAAAUAUUUUCAGUAAAUCUGUAUUCAUUGAAUGAAAUAUUAAGUGGAUCCAUAAAGAAGCAGAUGAUAUAAGUCCCAGGAUAACAUCAGGAGAAUCUGAACACAGUGUAGCUGAAGCAUUUCAUCACCCCCCAACAAGAAAAUUGCUAUUUUGCCAACUAUUCUACCACAUUGCAGUGUUUCUAAGAUCUACAUUUUUUUCACAUUUAUUUCUAAAAAUCAAAAUGUGAAUUGCAGUCAACUGGUGACAUCUUAGAUCUGAUGAGAUAUGGUGGUUCUCCUGGAAAAGCAAAAGUUAGUAAUUUUCAGCAUAUCAUUGGCAUCCAAUGUUUAACUCUGGGGGGGUCAAAAGACAUCUUCAAGCACUAGUGAAGAAGACAUAUUUAAUUUGAGGACAUUUUUAUUAUAAUUUAGUAGGUAAGUGAUGUUCCUUCAAGGCAUUCAAGGAACCCACUCUGGAAUAGACUAAAGAGACUCUGAGUCAGUUAGUGUUGCCCACGAGGGUCACAGCCGGUCAAUGGCAGACCUGGACUGAGGUUCCUGCCCAGUCUGGAGGGUCAACACAGGGUGUGUUGUCCUGCUACCUGUCAGAGCAGGCACAAAGCAAGACUCAGUGAGGCAGACCCCGAUUUGCUCUGAAGCAUCCUUCUAUCUGGGCAUUGGCAGAACUCCCAAAUGAGUGGGUAAAGGUACCAAAAAAGUUCAGCCUCAAAUGAGUGGGUCAGUAAGACAUGAGACAGUGAAACGUUGUUCAAUUGUGGGACAUGGGAUUGGCUUGGCAGAGUCACUCUGCUCCAUGCUCAGCCUGCAGCCUCCUCCCUGGUAUCAAGGCCUUCCUACUUCCAGGUUCAUCUUUUGAAAUACAUCAUUUAUUUUCAAAAUAUACUGAUGUUAAUAAAAAUAAUGCCAAAGAUA